UACGAAGGGGGCUAGCGUUGUUCGGAAUUACUGGGCGUAAAGCGCACGUAGGCGGAUACUUAAGUCAGGGGUGAAAUCCCGGGGCUCAACCCCGGAACUGCCUUUGAUACUGGGUAUCUCGAGUCCGGAAGAGGUUAGUGGAAUUCCCAGUGUAGAGGUGAAAUUCGUAGAUAUUCGGGAAGAACACCAGUGGCGAAGGCGGCUAACUGGUCCGGUACUGACGCUGAGGUGCGAAAGCGUGGGGAGCAAA
rnacentral:rRNA from 1 species